ensembl:lncRNA
UCUCUUUCUGGAGAUCCCUUCUUGGUGAAGCUUUCCCCUGUGAACCUGGAAUCUUCUGAUAUGGGCAAAGCAAUGUGUUGCUGAGAAGCCGUGCCUCCUUUUCCUGAUGAGCCUCCAAACCUCCUGUGCUGCGAGUCAGUGAUGAAAUAACCAUCGUCUGCCUGAAGCUUUUAGUGCUGAACGUGAAAAGUUCUCUGGGCUGCCAGCAGGUGGGACCUGUGAUCAAACAGAAUAUAACAACUUGCACCUGGAUUGCAAGACAGUGGGUUUUCUGACAUGAAAACAGUUUUCUGGCCCUUCUGCAUGCAGUUCUUCCUACAGUCGCAAGCUUUGCUCACAGGGGAGAAUGUGGAUUUUGCAAGGCUGGCUGAUGCUGCAGAUAUGGGAAGAUAUGGGAAAUGCAGCCUGUGGCUGUGCCGAGUGAAAUACAUCCUCAGACCAAGCAGCUGAAGGGGGACCAUUGCAGGGAAACCGUCCUUCCCUUUCAAGUAAGAGAGCCAUGGCACAGCCUUUGGUGAUGGUCUUUGUGAGCUGUGAUUCCCAAGAGCUGAGGGUUGGGUGCUCUGAACACAGACUGGCUGUGAGCUGUGGACAACCCUACAGAAGUGAGGGAAAGUGCUCUGAUGGAGAGGUUCAUUUAGCCCAAACUCAGGCACUGCCAAUAGCCUUUAAAUGUACCACCAGGAAUAGGGCAAAUACAGCAUGAGGUCUCCACUAGCCACUGAUGGAGCUAUCCUCUCCAAAUUUGUACCCCCGUGUCCUGGACCCAUUCAUGCUCCUGGCCUCUAUACAUGCUUAGGAAUGAGCACAGGAUGUUGGUGGUAUCCACAAUUUUAUCUGGAGUUUCUCCAGGUUGGAUUUCUUUGACGAAAACCUCAGCCUUCAAGCCGUGCACUCCAAUGGCAUAGAUCAUAGAAUCAUUCAAUAUCCCGAGUUGGAAGGGACCCAUAAGGAUCAUCGAAUCUAACUCCUGGCUCCACAGAGGACUACCCAAAAAUAGAUGUGUUUCCAUAACUAAAAAUGGGAAUUUUGGUUGCAAGGAACUUGUGAUUCUUAGGGUCAAAAAGUUUCCUAGAAUAUUGUACAGCUAAAAUAGCAUCAGUAUUUAUGUCACUUUCAUGUGGGGAGCUGAUUUCCAGCCAGAGGGUCUCUGCAUAACGGCAGUAUGAGUGUUUUGAGAGCAAAAUCUGAUUUACUGCUGUGGUGCUCACUGUACCUUGUGCAUGCUGUCUGCAUAUUCAAAAUUACAUCAUUUUCUAGCCUGAUUUCUGCCAACUCAGUACAUCUCCUAUGUGGUUUUUUUUUAGCCUGACAACUGUUUCAAAGGGUGGCCAAUGAAACAGUCCUUGAUCAUUUGUUUUAUCUGUGCUUUUAUUGUGCAUCAUUGCCAAGGUGUAAAGUUGCUUCACUUUUCUGCCACGUCCCCAUUUUGAUAUAACAGUAAGUGUCCUCCCGGACCCAGGACCUCUUGAAGGUGUUUUUCUCCAUAAUCCUUCCCCUAUUUCUCCUGCUUUGUAGUCUUGUUACUUUUCUCUUUAUGCAUUUUUGGGCAGCAGGGGACCACAGGAAACCCAAGGGGCAAGGGAACACACAAUUUCUGGCUCUCUCUUCUCAUGCCCAGAGCCACAGCCACGUCCAGCAGCCAAGAAGGGAAGCAGAGCAAGUCCUGAGCAAGAAGCCCCAAAAUGGAGCAAGAUCAAGGCAGGCAGAAUCUGUAGAGGUUUCUCUCCCAAAGGCUAAUAAAUCUUUAGUGGGAAGUUUUCAAAGGCUUUUCACUUUGCCAAAUUUGGAUGCAAAAGGCGCAUCCCUAUUCCCAGGGUGACACCGAAUUUCCAAUCCCCUUUCCAGAGCAUGGAGGCGUGAGAGAGUCUCCAAAAAAAUAAUUGUUAGAAUUUGUUUUUGCAUCGACUAAGCACUUUUCUCUAAUCUAGUUUUGGAAAGCUGCCAGCCCUUCUCUUCUCCCACCCUCCCUGCAAUUUCCUAGAAAAUUCUGCUGGAGGCAGACACCUGGCAAAGGAGAAUUUCAGACCAAAUAGUUUAAAUGUGGUGAAUAUAACUGAGAGCCGGGACUUCUGAUAGCAUGUGUUGGGAUAUCUGAGUGCUAGCAGCCUCCUGCCCUCCCAGUGCUGUGCUGUAGCCACAUCUCCCACCAGCCUCCACUCUGGACUCGCACUUAAGUUCGUUGCUUGUUGCUUGGAGCAGAAUAAAUGUCAGAUAUAAAACCACUCUGCUGUAUGGGGAGCAUUAGAGGUGAGCACAGAUGCAAGAGCACGGCAAGCGAUCUCCGCUGUGCUUCAAGGUAACCUGGCCAGCACGCGCCUCGUCCUUGCAAAUGCCAUAUAAUAUUUUUCACUCUCUGCUGGAAUAAAAAACUGCCCUAAGAAAAGCAGAAUGAGGGCUGAUGUUUUGAAAGGUGUCCAAGAGUAACAAAACUCAACUCUCCAGGGCAGAGUUUCGCCUCUUGUGUUUCUCAACCAGGGUGGCUGAAUGUGUUACAGACCUAUCAGAAAUUUUGCUACAAAUGCACAAAUAUUAAUCUACAGCCAUUUCCUUUGCUUUCUUAAACAUGAAUGAGGAUUUUUGUCUCUUUCUCCCCCCAUAAAUUGUUCAUGGUCAGAGGGGGCAUGUUCCGUGUCAAAGUCUUGACCGCCAGGAUCAAACAAAAAACCCUUGUGAACUCAAAAGUGGAGACAAAUAAAUGACUAUUACUUUUUUUUUUUUUUUUUUUCCUUCUUUUGCCUGGAGUUAAACCUUUUCUCUGUCAACAAUAUUGACUUUGUUCACUUGGAAGGAAACAGAGAGAGAGAGAGAGAGAGAGAGGGAUUUCUCUAGAUGCUGCACAGAAAAAAAAAAAGCAUUUUGGAAGGAGGAAUGAAAAAAGACAGAGGUUACAGGAAAUGGUAGACAUUUUUUGUUGAAUUAAACCAUUAGGAGUGACCCAAAAACCAACGGGAAAGAAAGGAAACAACUGGAUACAUUUAGGUCACAAGAACCAGCCAAACGGGGAGCUGAAACCAAUUAUCAUAAAUGAAUGUUUCUCUUUUAUUCAUGACCACCGUGCAUGCUCCCAUGAUGCUCUUUGUCUUAUUAUAAAA